GCUUGGGUGGCUCAGUCGGUUAAGCAUCUGACUUCUGCUCAGGUCACCAUCUCACGGUUUGUGGGUUCAAGCCCCGCGUCGGGCU
rfam:Felis catus isolate Cinnamon breed Abyssinian chromosome B4, whole genome shotgun sequence.